ACUGAAUAGAUACCCUGGUAGUCCAUGCCGUAAACGUUGGGCACUAGGUGUGGGGGACAUUCCACGUUUUCCGCGCCGUAGCUAAACGCAUUAAGUGCCCCGCCUGGGGAGUACGGCCGCAAGGCUAAAACUCAAAGGAAUUGACGGGGGCCCGCACAAGCGGCGGAGCAUGCGGAUUAAAUUCGAUGCAACGCGAAGAACCUUACCAAGGCUUGACAUGGACCGGAUCGCCGCAGAAAUGUGGUUUCUCCUUUUGGGGCCGGUUCACAGGUGGUGCAUGGUUGUCGUCAGCUCGUGUCGUGAGAUGUUGGGUUAAGUCCCGCAACGAGCGCAACCCUCGUUCCAUGUUGCCAGCGCGUAAUGGCGGGGACUCAUGGGAGACUGCCGGGGUCAACUCGGAGGAAGGUGGGGACGACGUCAAAUCAUCAUGCCCCUUAUGUCUUGGGCUUCACGCAUGCUACAAUGGCCGGUACAAAGGGUUGCGAUACUGUGAGGUGGAGCUAAUCCCAAAAAGCCGGUCUCAGUUCGGAUUGGGGUCUGCAACUCGACCCC
rnacentral:rRNA from 1 species